AUAAAAAAAAAUGUCACCAUUAUUUUUUUCAAAUCCAUUCAAAUUUUUCCAGGCAUUGGUUAACGAUCAUUUUUGAAGAAACUCCACCGAUAGAAUGGCAGCAUUCGAUGGGGCUACUCGGUGUUGUACUGAAUAUUUUUCGAAUAUCUUCUCUCUCCCAUCCAUGGAUCCAGUGGCAACUCUGGUGUGGUGGGACGGUGAGAACCUGACCACAACUACCUCGGCGUCGUGGC